AAACUUUCAACAACGGAUCUCUUGGUUCUGGCAUCGAUGAAGAACGCAGCGAAAUGCGAUAAGUAAUGUGAAUUGCAGAAUUCAGUGAAUCAUCGAAUCUUUGAACGCACAUUGCGCCCCUUGGUAUUCCGGGGGGCAUGCCUGUUCGAGCGUCA
rnacentral:rRNA from 2 species